UAUCUUGGUCUCGGAUAUGUCAGGGUUCCAUGUGGAAUUUUUCAGAACACUCAUCUACCCUUACCCUUCACCUGCAGCCUCAUACAAUGUCCUAGUGAACCUCUGAUAGUGACGGACAUGUGUCCUCUCUUUCAGAAGCAACAUCAAAAUGUGUGGAAUUGUGCUAACCCUAGCUAGUCAAGUAGACUUCCAGAAAUGGUUACCAAAGACAAAAAGGAGAAUCUGCUGACUGAAUAAAGGAAGAACCGUUUCACUGAAGAGAUUCGUUAUGUUUUCUUCGUUCCUAAGAGUUGGAUUUUCUCUCAGAUCAUUUGAAAAUGACAUGUAUGCUUUAAGGAAAGGUCAAAAUUGUAUCUUACACCUACUGAAUUUGUGGAACUAUCUGUACAAUAAAAACUCAAAUUUUCAA